rnacentral:lncRNA from 1 species
UAUUUUUCUAAUUUGUUCUUAGAAUUCAUACAAGGAGUCUGACGAGUGUAAAUACAUACACUUAUAUAUGUUUAUAUAUAAUUUAGCCUGAGAGGCCUGUAUUUAUUAAGUUUUGGAGACUAGCCGGUGCUGGUCGUGAAGUUGCCAGUUUUUGAGUUGAGCGCUUUUGAGCGAUUGCAUGCAGUAUUAUUUUAUUUUGAAAUUAAAUUGGGGAAGCAUAAAGAAAUAUUUUUAUUUAAUUUAUUUUUGUCCACUCACUCUAACUGUUUCACAUGUUUUCCCCUGGACUCUUCGUUUUAAAUUGCCCAGUCUGCAGAGUUCGGGUUGGAUCUAGUAGGAGGCGAGGCAUAGUCACCCGCAUUUCCGCCAGUUUUCAUCAAUAGGUUACAUGUUUAACCUACUCGUGUUUUCUUGCUUCCGCUAGUGUCUAGUAGCUCUGAAUACUUUGGGAUUAUUGUAUAUUAUGUUUAGAAUUUCUGAAGAUUAAUUAUGUGAUGUUUGGACGUGUUGUAUUAAGAGUGUAAUUUAGAAUUUUCGAGUUAGGGUUGUCCAUUUUCAAGGGAGAUUUAAUCAAUCUUUUCAGUAAAUUUUCCUUAGAGGUGGUCCCCGCACGACUUGCUCCGGGUUUCAGGGUGAAAUUUGGGGUGGGUUGUGUCAGACAUAGUGUAUUGAAGUUUACUGACCCCCAGUAGAAGUUUACUGGGAGACAUUUUUUUUUUUUGCAUAUGCAGUUUAUAAAUGCAAGUUUUUACUACUUAUAUGUAGGAUGGGAAGAAGUUCAAGACAUUUAGUUCUCACUUUUGAUACCGAAGAGGAUUCGGUUCAAAAAUCUGUAGCUUCUAUGAGGACAGAACAAAAGUCGAAGAAAAAGAGAAAAGUGGUCCAAAAGGGUGCCGCUGCUGAAGAAGAAGAAGAAGCAGAACCGGUAGAAGAAGAAGAUGAUGAUUACACUGAAGAUGAAGAGGGGGAAAUAAAAAAGUAUCUUUUUUUGAAAAGAUCAACAUGCAGAGAAAGAAAACAAGCGGAGAUAGAUUCAGGGGAGGAGGAGGAGGAAGAAA